rnacentral:rRNA from 1 species
CAGUAGCCACGGGAAAACGAAGGGUGCAAGCGUUAAUCGGAAUUACUGGGCGUAAAGCGUGCGCAGGCGGUUGUGCAAGACAGAUGUGAAAUCCCCGAGCUUAACUUGGGAACUGCAUUUGUGACUGCACGGCUAGAGUGUGUCAGAGGGGGGUAGAAUUCCACGUGUAGCAGUGAAAUGCGUAGAUAUGUGGAGGAAUACCGAUGGCGAAGGCAGCCCCCUGGGAUAACACUGACGCUCAUGCACGAAAGCGUGGGGAGCAAACAGGAUUAGAGACCCCUGUAGUCCCUGUCUCUUAUAC